AGGGUUUGAUUCUGGCUCAGGAUAAACGCUGGCGGCGCACAUAAGACAUGCAAGUCGAACGAACUUAAUCGUUAGUUUACUAAUGAAGCGGUUAGUGGCGGACUGGUGAGUAACACGUAAGCAACCUGCCUAUUAGAGGGGAACAACAGUUAGAAAUGACUGCUAAUACCGCAUAUGCCAUAAGUAUCGCAUGAUACAAGUGGGAAAGGAGCAAUCCGCUAAUAGAUGGGCUUGCGUCUGAUUAGAUAGUUGGUGGGGUAACGGCCUACCAAGUCGACGAUCAGUAGCCGAGUUGAGAGACUCUACGGCCACAUUGGGACUGAGAUACGGCCCAG
rnacentral:rRNA from 1 species